AUUUUUGAAGUCAAUGAAACCAAGAACCCACCAAUUCUGGACACACCAGGACAUUCUCUAUUUUUAUUUGCUGAAACUGGCAACACUAAGUGCGGGGCACCAGACACUGCUGUGGCUCAGGCAUCUCGCUAUGGAUAAGUGGUUCAUCUUUCAGCCUGGGGAAGCAGCCAGAUCUGGAACACCUCCAGCAAUUGCCAUAUCCUUCAGCUUCAGAAGGCCGCCAGCAGGGGUCAGUUGUUGGCUGUUUGAGAGGCUUCCAGCUUUUUGGCUAUUAUAAAUAAUGCUGCCACGAUCAUUCACAUCUUUGGUGGACAUCAGUUUUCAUUCCUCUCAAGUAAAUGCCUAGGAUGGAAUUGCUACGUUGUGUGUGAACCACUAAUCACAUGAGAGGUGUGCCAUAAAACAAAGCUUUCAAGAUCAUGGGCUUCCAAUGCAUUGCUUGAUUUUCUGUGGGAGGAAAGUGCUUUUGAAGUUCCAAAUCCAAUCCCUGAAGCAAGAUUAAUAAUCAAAGAUCCUCUCCAGUGUGCAAAUCCUCAUGGGAUUUAGGUGGAUUGCUACAGCCUAGUCCCGAGGCAUGUGGCACACCUGUACGUUGCCACAAAUAGUUCAGAAAUAACACCAGUUCAUGUCUACAACAAGGCCUUUGAACUUGAGUAUUCUCUUUCUGGUAUUCAAUGCUGGAGCUGCAGUGAGAGCGUGCAGUUCCCUAAAUUUUGCCCCCGAGGAACCUUACUUGUCUCACCAUAAUCUCAGUUCAUUUGAACACUUCUCCAGAUACUCUGUAGGAAUACAACGGAGUUAGCUUGUUUCAAGGGAGAGUUUUUUUAUUGGGAAGAUGACCUAACUGGCUAAGUCCAAGUUUGUGGAAACAACAUAUCUGAGGAAUCCGAAUCAGAUCAAUGAAAUAGAGUUUCUAGCAGCUGCACUGUGAAUAACGUCCUGAAAGAUGCUGCUGCUGGAACUCGAUUCCACAGCUAUGGGUGUUUGUUGGAAGGCACCCAAAAGGGAUUCCAAGGGCCCUGCCUCUACUGACUGCCGUUUAUUCUUAAAGCACUAGGCUCAACAGUUGAGCUUUGUGUGGUAUUGAGUGGGUUUUAUGAUUACUUGUUUGCCAUUGUUAGUGUCAGCCUGUCAACACCUUGAAGGGCAGAGCAUUUUUGUUUGUUUUGAAAAUUACUCAAUAGCAAAUCCUUAAUUAUACAGCAGUAUGGCUUUUUGAAAGGUUGAGUGAUGUACUGCUGUUGUUUUAGAUUUCUUUCAUGCUAAAUCUUAUGAGGUGCAUAGCCUUCAAUAACUAAAUGCAAAUAAUGCAAUCGAAUCCCACUUGAGCCUGCCAUUAAUUAUCUCACAUUUAUCUUCAUUUCCAGGCUGGUGAUAUGGGCCAGCAUUCAAGACAACUAGAAAAAAUAUCCAGUAAAGGUUUUGAAGUUCCUUUAUGUGCAGGGAUUUAUGAUACACAGACACGUGUGAACCAUACACACAUACAUGCAUGUAUACACACAUACAUGCAUGUAUGCACACAUCUGCUUUCACAUCUACACACAUCUACAUCUGCAUAAUACCACAUGCAUGGCUAGAUGUAACACAUGCACAUAUCAAUGUGUCACACAUAUUUACACAUAUAUGCACACUCACAUGUUUACUGUAUUUGAAAUUUUUGGUUGCAAGUAACAGGAAACAAACUCAAAGACACCUAAACCAUAAAAGGAAUCCAUAAUUUCACAAAGGUUAUUUCAUUCCCUCUUUCCUCUAUAUGCCAAGGUUGAUCCUCUAUGUUUGUGAAAUGGCUGCUAAAAACUUCCGUAUUGAGGUGUAGCAGGAAGAGUAUGUCUUUCUGGAUAGCUUCUUUGGAAAAGUGAGGAAGCUUUUUUCUUAGAAAUCUUAACAGACCUUCUCUCAUUUUUUAUUGUUGGAAUUGGGUUUCAAGCCCAUCACUAAUUUAAUCCCUGUAACCAAUGAGAUGAAAUAUGAAUAUGGCCUUAAAUGAAUCCCUGGAGCUGACAAGUUAUUACGUGGGGCCCAGGGUCAGAUUUUCCAGAAACAUUUAGGCUGCAUAGGGUAAAAGGCAGAUACCCAAUGGAAAAUCAAAUUCUGUUACCAAAAGGUAGGUCGUCCAAGUCCUGGGUGGCUCAUGUUAGUAAAUGUUCCUACCCCUGGCUCCUGCACACGUACACACACACAACACGGCUGUCAGAAUUUCCACAACCAAAGACGCCCUUUAUUACUGAAUUACUUUCUACACCUCAUGUUUUGACAGAUUCUGUCUACUAAGAAACUGAGAGCAAUAUGGUAACUAAUUCAUUUUUGCAUUUUCAUGCCUGAGAAGCUGGUAUUACCACAAUGAGUUUAUGUAAUUCCAGUCAAUAUUAAAGCAAUACAAUUGAUGUUUAGGUAGCCUGGGAGACCUUAUAGGAAGUAAAUGUACAGUAGUAAUUAGAAUUAUUGAAAUCUUAAAAAUAGCAGAUUACUUGCAGGAGUCGGCGGCCUUUUUGAGAAGCAAUUUUGUAAAAUUUGCCUUCUGAGGUCAAAAUUUGGCUAGACCUUUCUUGGUAAAUGCAGGAAAUCAUGAUGAAUAAUCCAUUGCACCAACCACUGCAAGUAGAUGUACCCUUUGCACCUGCCCCUUCUUCACGUUCCCUUCCACUUCCUUUCUUCUCCAAUGACAUAGUAUCACUGAAGAGGCUCUCCUCUGGAAGAAAACACUUUGAAGUCAUUUAACUAUGUUAAAAAAAAAAAAAAAAAGCUCAAGGAAGCAGUUUGUUUUCAGAGAGUGUAUUUAUCAGCAACUCUCCACUCUCAGUAGUUUAGAAAAAUAAAAGUUUAUUUCUUAUUUACACUGUAGUUUAAAGUGGAUUGUUCACAGGCUGUUAUGUGGCUCUGCUCCAUGCUGUGAUACAGAGAACCAGGCUCCUUCCGUCUGAGAAUUCCUAGGGUCUUAGAGUCUUCCAGUGGAGCCUGUAUAUCCAGCCAGUGGAUGAAAGAAGAAUGAUGAUACAUGGCUGAAACAUGAAUGAUUAUGCAGGCAGAUUGUAGUGUCCCAGCCUGGCAGUGGUACACAUUACUUCUGCCUACAUUCCACUGGCCAGGACACAUAGUAAUGUGGUCACAACCAUUUGCAAAGUUGCUGAAAAAUGUAGUCAAAAAGUGUGGCAAGAUGGAAGGGGAAACAAGGGCGGCUAGAACACACAGGCAUCUUUGCUACAGAUAGACUAACGUUCAUUUAGAAUCUUUUUCUCCUACACAGGUAUGCAGGAGCAUUUUGAAUGCCAGAGUUUUUGAAUCUCAGCAAUUCAAGUUGGGAGGGUCAAGAUCAUGACUAAUAGGGCUGAAUUCUUACUAAAGAACAGCUUGUUUUACAGUUAACAAAUAAAGUUUUGUGCAAGAUUUUUUUUUUCCUUUUUACCUAGAGGUCCCUGAAUUUACAGUUUCUUCAUGAUAUGGUUUGGCUCUGUGUUCCUACCCAAAUCUCAUGUUGAAUUAUGAUCUUCAGUGUUGGAGGAGGGGCCUGGUGGAAGUUGAUUAAAUCAUGGGGGUGGAUUUCUGCCUUGCUGUUCUCAUGAUAGUGAGUGAGUUCUCAUGAGAUCUGGUUGUUUAAAAGUGUGUAGUCUCACGCCUGUAAUCCCAGCAUUUUGAGAGGCUGAGGCGGGCGGAUCAUGAGUUCAAGAGUUCCAGACCAGCCCGACCAACAUGGUGAAACCCCGUCUCUACUAAAAAUACAAAAAUUAGUUGGGUGUGGUGAUGCAUGCCUGUAAUCCCAGCUACUCAGACGGUUGAGGCAGGAGAAUCACUUGAACCUGGGAGGCGGAGGUUGCAGUGAGCCGGCAUUGCGCCACUGCACUCCAGCCUGGGUGACAGAGCGAGACUCCGUCUCAAGGAAAAAAAAAA
rnacentral:lncRNA from 1 species